GCGCCCGUAGCUCAGGUGGAUAGAGCAGCGGUUUCCUAAACCGCGUGUCGGGAGUUCGAGUCUCUCCGGGCGCACCA
rnacentral:tRNA from 3 species